rnacentral:lncRNA from 1 species
CGGAUCAUAUAGAUAUAUUAUAGUGUAGACUCAUAAAGAGAUGCUGAGCCAACAAAAUUCUAGCAUAUCAAACAAUUUAGGAACACAAAUUGCAUGAAAUUUAAUCCAAAUGGAUAAAAGAUGAUUAACAGUGAAGUAAUAAUUCCUGAUUCUUAAGCUCAAGAGAUCCAGAUUUCUUGACAAAACCCUAGGAGACUAAUUAUCUGAUGUCAACAUAUAUAAACCUAACAAAUGUAUCAUCAUCACCGUUCCCAGCAAUUAAAGCAAGCAGGAUAUAGAUGAUAGAAAACCUGUCAAGCAAGGGUGGGUUGGUAGGGAAGGGGGAAGAUAGCUCUUCUUCAUUUUUUCUUUUCUUUUCUUUUCAUU